UGACGCUAAAGCUCGAAAGUGCGGGUAUCGAACAGGAUUAGAUACCCUGGUAGUCCGCACGGUAAACGAUGGAUGCCCGCUGUUUGCCCUUCGGGGUGAGUGGCUAAGCGAAAGCGUUAAGCAUCCCACCUGGGGAGUACGCCGGCAACGGUGAAACUCAAAAGGAAUUGACGGGGGCCCGCACAAGCGGAGGAACAUGUGGUUUAAUUCGAUGAUACGCGAGGAACCUUACCCGGGCUUGAACUGCAGGAGAACGAUACAGAGAUGUUGAGGUCCUUCGGGACUCCUGUGGAGGUGCUGCAUGGUUGUCGUCAGCUCGUGCCGUGAGGUGUCGGCUUAAGUGCCAUAACGAGCGCAACCCCUUUCGUUAGUUGCCAUCAGGUGAUGCUGGGCACUCUGGCGAUACUGCCACCGUAAGGUGUGAGGAAGGUGGGGAUGACGUCAAAUCAGCACGGCCUGAACGUCCGGGGCUACACACGUGUUACAAUGGCGCAUACAGAGAGUCGGUUGCAUGUAAAUGUGAUCUAAUCAAUAAAGUGCGUCGUAGUUCGGACUGGGGUCUGCAACCCGACCCCACGAAGCUGGAUUCGCUAGUAAUCG
rnacentral:rRNA from 1 species